rnacentral:rRNA from 1 species
CUGGUUGAUUCUGCCAGUAGUCAUAUGCUUGUCUCAAAGAUUAAGCCAUGCAUGUCUAAGUAUAAGCACUUUAUACUGUGAAACUGCGAAUGGCUCAUUAAAUCAGUUAUCGUUUAUUUGAUAGUACCUUACUACAUGGAUACCUGUGGUAAUUCUAGAGCUAAUACAUGCUGAAAACCUCGACUUCGGAAGGGGUGUAUUUAUUAGAUAAAAAACCAAUGCCCUUCGGGGCUCCUUGGUGAAUCAUAAUAACUUAACGAAUCGCAUGGCCUUGCGCCGGCGAUGGUUCAUUCAAAUUUCUGCCCUAUCAACUUUCGAUGGUAGGAUAGUGGCCUACCAUGGUGGCAACGGGUAACGGGGAAUUAGGGUUCGAUUCCGGAGAGGGAGCCUGAGAAACGGCUACCACAUCCAAGGAAGGCAGCAGGCGCGCAAAUUACCCAAUCCCGACACGGGGAGGUAGUGACAAUAAAUACUGAUACGGGGCUCUUUUGGGUCUCGUAAUUGGAAUGAGUACAAUCUAAAUCCCUUAACGAGGAACAAUUGGAGGGCAAGUCUGGUGCCAGCAGCCGCGGUAAUUCCAGCUCCAAUAGCGUAUAUUAAAGUUGUUGCAGUUAAAAAGCUCGUAGUUGAACCUUGGGUCUGGCUGGCCGGUCCGCCUCACCGCGAGUACUGGUCCGGCUGGACCUUUCCUUCUGGGGAAUCUCAUGGCCUUCACUGGCUGUGGGGGGAACCAGGACUUUUACUGUGAAAAAAUUAGAGUGUUCAAAGCAGGCCUUUGCUCGAAUACAUUAGCAUGGAAUAAUAGAAUAGGACGUGCGGUUCUAUUUUGUUGGUUUCUAGGACCGCCGUAAUGAUUAAUAGGGAUAGUCGGGGGCGUCAGUAUUCAGCUGUCAGAGGUGAAAUUCUUGGAUUUGCUGAAGACUAACUACUGCGAAAGCAUUCGCCAAGGAUGUUUUCAUUAAUCAGGGAACGAAAGUUAGGGGAUCGAAGACGAUCAGAUACCGUCGUAGUCUUAACCAUAAACUAUGCCGACUAGGGAUCGGACGGUGUUUCUAUUAUGACCCGUUCGGCACCUUACGAGAAAUCAAAGUUUUUGGGUUCUG